rnacentral:rRNA from 1 species
GACGAACGCUGGCGGCGUGCUUAACACAUGCAAGUCGAACGGAAAGGCCGUGCCUUUGUGGGGUGCGCGAGGGGCGAACGGGUGAGUAACACGUGAGUAACCUGUCCUUGACUUUGGGGUAACUUAAGGAAACUGGGGCUAAUCCCGGAUAGGAGCUAUUGCUGCUUGGUGGGGGCUGGAAAGUUUAGGCGGUUGGGGUUGGACUAGCGGACUAUCAGCUUGUUGGAUGGGUAGUGGCUUAGCAAGGCUUUGCAGGGUGGCCGGCCUGCGAGGGUGAGCGGCCCCAUUAGGACUGGGAUACGGCCCAGCCCCCUCCGGUAGGCAGCGGUGGAGUAUAUUGCACAAUGGGCUGAACCCUGAUGCAGCAACGCCGCGUGCGGUAUGUCGUCCUGCGGGUUGUAUUCCGCUGUCCCCUGUGCCGAAGCGUUAGUGACGGUAAUGGGUAAAUAAGCACCGGCUAACUACGUG